GGAGCUAAAUUUGGAUUUGAGUAGAUUCCUAUGACGAUAUAGAGAGUAGGAAACCCAAAAUCCGAAUAUGAUAAAGUAAAUAAUCCAGAUUAGAUACUCCAAAUAAAAUAUUACGUUAGUGAACUUUGUUAUAAUUAGUUGGCUUAACUUUUUAUCUCACUUUUUCUUUUCUUUUUUUUGUCCCAAUGACUUAAGCAAACAUGAAGGAGGAAGGUUAAAAGGAAUGAGAAUAUAAUAGCCAAAUUGAUAUUAUCCUUUACCCUAUACUUUUUUAAAUUAUAUAAUAAAUAAAGAUCACUUGAAAAUCAGGUUGAAAGGCAAAGUGACUUUUCUUUUAUUCGCUGUCUAAGAGUGUAGUCCAC
rnacentral:lncRNA from 1 species